rnacentral:rRNA from 1 species
UGGGGAAUUUUGGACAAUGGGCGCAAGCCUGAUCCAGCCAUGCCGCGUGCGGGAAGAAGGCCUUCGGGUUGUAAACCGCUUUUGUCAGGGAAGAAAUCUUCUGAGUUAAUACCUCGGGAGGAUGACGGUACCUGAAGAAUAAGCACCGGCUAACUACGUGCCAGCAGCCGCGGCAAUACGUAGGGUGCAAGCGUUAAUCGGAAUUACUGGGCGUAAAGCGUGCGCAGGCGGUUUUGUAAGACAGAGGUGAAAUCCCCGGGCUCAACCUGGGAACUGCCUUUGUGACUGCAAGGCUUGAGUGCGGCAGAGGGGGAUGGAAUUCCGCGUGUAGCAGUGAAAUGCGUAGAUAUGCGGAGGAACACCGAUGGCGAAGGCAAUCCCCUGGGCCUGCACUGACGCUCAUGCACGAAAGCGUGGGGAGCAAACAGGAUUAGAUACCCUGGUAGUCCACGCCCUAAACGAUGUCAACUGGUUGUUGGGAAGGUUCCUUCUCAGUAACGUAGCUAACGCGUGAAGUUGACCGCCUGGGGAGUACGGCCGCAAGGUUGAAACUCAAAUGAAUUGACGGGGUCAUAGCUGUUUCCUG